AUGCCCUGUAGUCUGUCCCUUUAAGUACUCCCAAGUCUGUGUCCCUGCAAACUAGUUGUAUCAGGGACUGCCCCAAUGGUAUUGGUGGUAAGCAUGUCUGUGUGCUAAACUUCGCCCAAGACCACCUCUCAUCACACUAGCACAAUUCAUUUUAGGUUACAAUGGAACCAGGAGUGAAUGGUGUAGAGUUACCAUCAAUGGAGCUGUAUUGCGAUAGGAACACUGGCCAAACAAGACAUUGAAGAUUUUGAGUCACACAGUGUUUCAGUCACAGAGACCCUGAACCAAUUGGCAGCACGUGUGGCGGAUGAAAGAUUUCAGUCACAGAUUUUUUCACUGGCUCCUCAGUCUAACCUUGACAUACAGGAAGACGUACAGGUAUCCCCUACACAGGUGGGUGAGACGCAAGAGAAUGAGAAAGAGGACCUCUCCUCUGACAUAUCACUCAUCAGCAGCCUGGCAGCACCUACAAAUACCC